GGGGAAUAUUGCACAAUGGGGGAAACCCUGAUGCAGCAACGCCGCGUGAGUGAUGACGGUCUUCGGAUUGUAAAGCUCUGUCUUCAGGGACGAUAAUGACGGUACCUGAGGAGGAAGCCACGGCUAACUACGUGCCAGCAGCCGCGGUAAUACGUAGGUGGCGAGCGUUGUCCGGAUUUACUGGGCGUAAAGGGAGCGUAGGCGGACUUUUAAGUGAGAUGUGAAAUACUCGGGCUUAACCUGAGUGCUGCAUUUCAAACUGGAAGUCUAGAGUGCAGGAGAGGAGAAGGGAAUUCCUAGUGUAGCGGUGAAAUGCGUAGAGAUUAGGAAGAACACCAGUGGCGAAGGCGCUUCUCUGGACUGUAACUGACGCUGAGGCUCGAAAGCGUGGGGAGCAAAC
rnacentral:rRNA from 1 species